CGCUCCAUAUAUGUCACACAUUC
rnacentral:miRNA from 10 species